AGAGUUUGAUCAUGGCUCAGGAUGAACGCUAGCUGGAGGCUUAAUACAUGCAAGUCGAGCGGGAUUGGGUAGCAAUACCCAUGAGAGCGGCGCACGGGUGAGUAACGCGUACACGACCUACCUUUGACUGGGGGAUAGCCCUGGGAAACUGGGAUUAAUACCGCAUAUAAUUCUGAAUAAUAAAGGUUUGGAAUGAAAGUUCAGGCGGUCAGAGAUGGGUGUGCGUCUGAUUAGCUAGUUGGUGAGGUAACGGCUCACCAAGGCGAUGAUCAGUAGGGGGCGUGAGAGCGUGGACCCCCACACGGGUACUGAGACACGGACCCGACUCCUACGGGAGGCAGCAGUAAGGAAUAUUGGACAAUGGCCGCAAGGCUGAUCCAGCCAUCCAGCGUGCAGGAAGAAGGCCCUACGGGUUGUAAACUGCUUUUGUCAGGGAAUAAACCUGUGGAUUUACUCCGCAGCUGAAGGUACCUGAAGAAUAAGCACCGGCUAACUCCGUGCCAGCAGCCGCGGUAAUACGGAGGGUGCGAGCGUUAUCCGGAAUUACUGGGUUUAAAGGGUGCGUAGGCGGCUAUGUAAGUCAGGAGUGAAAGUUUGCGGCUCAACCGUAAAAUUGCUUUUGAUACUGCAUGGCUGGAAUCAGGACGAGGUCAGCGGAAUGUGGCAUGUAGCGGUGAAAUGCAUAGAUAUGCCAUAGAACACCAAUUGCGAAGGCAGCUGGCUAGACCUGUAUUGACGCUGAGGCACGAAAGCGUGGGGAGCGAACAGGAUUAGAUACCCUAGUAGUCC
rnacentral:rRNA from 1 species